rnacentral:rRNA from 1 species
UACGAAGGGUGCAAGCGUUACUCGGAAUUACUGGGCGUAAAGCGUGCGUAGGUGGUUCGUUAAGUCUGUCGUGAAAGCCCCGGGCUCAACCUGGGAAUGGCGAUGGAUACUGGCGAGCUAGAGUGCGGUAGAGGAGAGUGGAAUUCCCGGUGUAGCAGUGAAAUGCGUAGAGAUCGGGAGGAACAUCAGUUGCGAAGGCGGCGACCUGGUCCGAUACUGACGCUGAGGCGCGAAAGCGUGGGGAGCAAACAGG